UCCCUUCCCGGUCGGGGACAGGGUGACAGGUGGUGCAUGGUUGUCGUCAGCUCGUGUCGUGAGAUGUUGGGUUAAGUCCCGCAACGAGCGCAACCCCUAUCUUUAGUUGCCAUCAUUGAGUUGGGCACUCUAAAGAGACUGCCGGUGUCAAACCGGAGGAAGGUGGGGAUGACGUCAAGUCCUCAUGGCCUUUAUGACCAGGGCUACACACGUACUACAAUGGCCGGUACAAAGGGCAGCGACACAGCGAUGUGAAGCGAAUCCCGAAAAGCCGGUCUCAGUCCGGAUUGGAGUCUGCAACUCGACUCCAUGAAGUUGGAAUCGCUAGUAAUCGCGGAUCAGCACGCCGCGGUGAAUACGUUCCCGGGCCUU
rnacentral:rRNA from 1 species